rnacentral:rRNA from 1 species
GAAAUCAACCGAGAUUCCCCCGUUGCGGCGAGCGAACGGGGNGUCGCCCAGAGCCUGAAUCAGUGUGUGUGUUAGUUGGAAGCGUCUGGAAAGGCGCGCGAUACAGGGUGACAGCCCCGUACACAAAAAUGCACAUGCUGUGGAGCUCGAUGAGUAGGGCGGGACACGUGGUAUCCUGUCUGAAUAUGGGGGGACCAUCCUCCAAGGCUAAAUACUCCUGACUGAGCCGAUAGUGAACCAGUACCGUGAGGAAAGGCGAAAAGAACCCCGGCGAGGAGUGAAAGACCGAAACCGUGUACCGUUACCAAGCAGUUGUGUGUAUGCACGUCUUAGGCGUUGUUGACUGCGUACCUUUUGUAUAAUGGGUCAGCGACUUAUAUUCUGUAGCAAGAGUUAACCGAAUAGGGGAGCCGAAGGAAACCGAGUCUUAACUGGGCGUUAAGUUGCAGGGUAUAGACCCGAAACCCGGUGAUCAGCCAUGGUCGGUUCGAAGGUUGGUAACACUAACUGGAGGACCGAACCGACUAAUGUCGAAAAAUUAGCGGAUGACUUGUGGCUGGGGGCGAAAGGCCAAUCAAACCGGGAGAUAGCUGGUUCUCCCCGAAAGCUAUUUAGGUAGCGCCUCGUGAA